CAACAUAGUAUGUGUAAAUGUAUUAGGAAUAAUAAGUAUCCACAAGAAGAAUAGUAAAUACAGAGGAGUUCACUUUCAAAGGGGUUCCAAGAUGGCCGCCGGGUGUACCAAGAUGGCCACCGCGAGUUGGGAUAAAAAAGAAUUACAAAUAAUGUACUUAAACUUGAGUCUAGAUAGAAUAGGGAAGGAGGAGGACUCAACAAAAACAAAACCCUUUUAAAGGGUACACAAGUGCCCAAAACCUAAUCCUUUUUUUCCCCUUUAUUUAUAAAAAAUUUAACAAAUCAAAAUCAACAAUAAGCCCUUUAGGGGCCAUGGUAUCAAGUGUAAAAACUCAGCUCAUUUCAGUUCUCCCUAACAGUGGCAAACUGGUGCACAUACUGCGGUCGCAGCUGCAACCGGGAUCGGCCCACCAGGUAUGUACGCCAGUUUGCGAGCCUCUUCUCCUGGGGGGCCCAGGACCUCAGGGCCCCCCAUGGCUGGCAGUGCUGUCACCGGGCGCGCGGGAGCAAUCUCCCCUGAGUUUCUCUGAAACUGCUAUGUUUAUAGAAGAAAGGGUUAAUCCUAGCUGGACCUGGCACCCAGACCACUUCAUUAAAUUUAAGUGGUCUGGGUGUCUAUAGUGGUCUUUAAAGUUUUACUUUGGCACAUUGCUACCAAAGGUUUGUCUACCCCUGCUUUAGUGAAAAACCCUGUUGUCAGUAAUCAAAAACUUCUAAACUUCUAAUGGUAGUGCUUUCUAAUUUUUUUUGUGCCUGUAUAUGUAUUAUUUUCUCUGUAAUCACCGUUUUUAAAUCAUUUUAAUUUUCUGUACAUCACUCUUAAUAGGGAUGACAAGAAAUGUUAAAUAAAUAGAUGUGGCCAAUAUACAGUAUAUGUUAUACUGUUUGUUUACCACUAGAUGGCAAUGAUUCCAUUUAGUUACUCUGGCCUUAAAUUUGAAAUUCACUUUGAAUUCUCACUUAAAGGGAAACUCCAGGCAGCCCUUUUUACUCACCUUGUUCCAGCGCUGGGAGCCUCGUGAAGCCGCGCCCCCUAUUUCGUCAAAAAUAGGCUCAGCUCACGGUCUUUGCCUGCCCCCUCUCCUCUGCUAACAGGCAGGAGAGAGAAGGCGUGCACACAGUGCCUUCUCUCUCCUGCACACGUCAGACGUAUUUUAAUACGGGCCAUACAUGAUAGGAAGUCCCUCUGGUGGCCUUCUGAGUGAUGACCACUGGAGGUAUUCCUAUCAAUCAAUGUAAACACUGUAUUUUCUCUUUACAUUAGGUUGCCUGCAGGGAGCUAUAGAUUUAACCUGAACAACUACAUUAAGCUGUAGUUGUUCAGGUGACUAUAGUGUCCCUUUAAGUAAAUAACCCUGCUGAUUCAGAGGCUGGCUUGGGAUCCAAUAUCUGCCCAUAACAACUGGAUCAUAUUUCCCCCCAUGUCUUCGCUAGUGACAUCAUGCCAUUCAAAUGGCAGACGUACUUUUCAAAAAUUUAAAUAUCAUGAAAUAUUUGUAUAUAAAUACGUAAUAAAUUGACCCCCCCCCCAAAAAAAAAGCAAAAACAAGUGUACCUCAUUUUUAAAAAGUAAGAAUAUGAGAAUACAUGAGUAGAACUCAAAAAAUAAAUCUGCUUUAUAAUAGAAAAAAAUUUACAUGGUAGUCCUAACAUAUUUAGCUAGAGCACCCCUGAACCACUUACUUGCAAGUGAUGACACUGAUCACAUUAUUUCAUUACAAUGUACAUUAUAAAUUGGUAGAAAUGUAAUAAAACGAGUAUAACAAUCCAUGAAUUAACUAGAGAGCUACUUCUGCUACAAUAAACCUUGUUUGAAAGAUGGCAAAUUCAACCUGGAUCUUCAGGAUACCUUGAUUUCAGGCUCCUGUACCACUGUCCUGGAUUAGUCCAGCUCGCUGUAUGUAGUGGUUAUGCUGCAAGGAGUGUCCUGGCAUCCUCCCCAGGUGCAGGAGUCUUACUUGGGGUCUGCUGGAGUCUCUCUCGAUCUCCACUCGUAAAGACCAAGAGAUGGUGACUCCUAAGCAGAAGCUUCUGUUAGUUCUCCAGAGCUAAGCCUGGCAGCAAAGGGCUAGUUCACUGACUGAGCUAAGCCUUACAGAGAGCUUCUGGCUCUCUAUUUUAAGCAGUAGAGGCGGAAAGUGGGGCUCAUGGUACCCUUGGUAAAAAAACAAACUGUUCUAAAAUGGUUUGAAUCCUUACAAUGGAUGAGUGACAGGGCACUUCUGGCACCAUAACGACUACAGUCUUUACGCCCUGCAUGAAAGUUCUGAGUGUUCCCCAUAGAUCUGCACUGAUUUAAUGCAUCAUUAUAAGGAGAUGCUGAUUGGCUCAGCGUUUUGCUGUGCAUGCGCAUUAGACUCAAGAUGUUUUCCUAUGGGAAAGCAUUGGAUUGGCUGAGAUCAUUAAGAUCAAAUCCCAAGACAUGGCAAAGAAUAGCUGUUGGCCAUGUUUUAUUCAGGAAAGAUGGCCUCAGUUUAACCUGACUCUAGUCAGGGCAGAAUAUGAAUUUUAUUCAAUGCUCUAUAUAUAUUAUGUAAUAAAAUCCAUGAAUGCAGAUGUAUAAGUUGAUUGGGAGAUUUAUACUGGAAUAGCGGCAGUAGAUGACCAGGGUUUCCAAAUUUUCAGUGAAGACUUUACUAAAGUAUAUACUAUGACCAUGUUAUCUUUUUUUUUUUUUUCAAUUUAGAACAGUGAUUCUAAUAUUUUGUUGGAUUAACGAACACUUAGCUAUUCCUUGCCAUUUCUCAGGAUUUGAUAUGUUGUGUAUAAAUGCUAGAGUAAGCAACUGAUGUCACUGGAGCCGAAUGUGCAUGCGCUGAAAGUGCCACGUGUGCAUUCAAAGUGUCCAUAGGAAUACUUUCCUAUGGACGCUCUGGGCGACAGAGGUGAAACUCUCCGGAAGACAGCCACUAGAGGCUGGAUUAACCCCAAAAGUAAACAUAGCAGUUUCUCUGAAACUGUUAUGUUUACAUGUGAAGAGUUAAAACCUGAGGGACCUGGCACCCAGACCACUUCAUUGAGCUGAAGUGUCUGGGUGACUAUAGUGUCCCUUUAAAUUUGAAAUUCACUUUGAAUUCUCGCUUUAGAUAAAAACCCUGUUAGUCAAAUCCAUGAACAUCAUAGUGAAUUGAAAAAUAAAUUGUGAAAUACUUGUACAAAAUGUAUCUAAGCCAGGCUGUUCUCUAUUACUAUUCUGAUUUUGUUUUGCCACCUCAGUUAUAUUUCCAAAUCAUCUAUUGACCUAAAAUGUGCAAUUCUCUUGUUAAUUUUCCAUGAUUCCCAGUUCAGUAAACACACCCACAGUGACAAUAGUUAAUACCCGGUUGUCCCUAUGUUCUGACAUAAUUCAUACACUGUGUUCCAGCCUGGCCUCUCCAGCUCUGCUCUCUGCCUUUCGAUCUGCUCUGUG